UACGGGGGGGGCUAGCGUUGUUCGGAAUUACUGGGCGUAAAGGGCGCGUAGGCGGUCUACUAAGUUGGAUGUGAAAACUCUGGGCUUAACCCAGAGCCUGCAUUCAAAACUGAUAGGCUAGAGUUCUGGAGGGGAUAGCGGAAUUCCUGGUGUAGCGGUGAAAUGCGUAGAUAUCUGGAGGAACACCGGUGGCGAAGGCGGCAUCCUGGACCGGUAUUGACGCUGAGGCGCGAAAGCCAGGGGAGCAAACGGG
rnacentral:rRNA from 1 species